AAGGAGGCGGGCAAUUACCCUUCAGGCUGACGUCAAUCAUAACAUCCCCGCUCUCCGUUUCCACCUACCGAUACCUGACAGGUGUCUUGUCCAAUAGGCGAAUAAGAUAAAAUGACGUAGCAUCCACUUCCCCCAAUAGGUGUUACGGGGGCGGGACUGUAUGUAGUUGGCGCCAAGGAGAUGAAAUGGCGGCGGUGGGGGCUGAGCUCGUCGCGGUGUUUGGGACAUUGGAUCCCUUUUGCCAACUCGCUGGUGUCAACGGUUGGGCACUGAAGAUGCGGGAGCUUCAGCGGCAUGAAAGGAACUGAGCUUCGGGAUACUGGUGGUGGUCCCCAAACUGCUGUCUGUUGUGUCAGUCGGGGGUGACUGAAACGCGAGUACAGAGUGAGUUACGGAUUUGCCUGAUGCCAAGAUGUUUAUGGCUGCUGGUUAUAUUGCAUUCAGAUAUGGAAGGUUCCACAAUCUGCUGGAGGAGCUUUGGGUUGAGCAGCACAGGGGGCAGAACUGGAGAUGGGAUACAGAUGGUGGUGAUCCCAUGUCCAGUUGCAAUCUAAUGCCCUUUGUUCGAAAGGGUCAUUGAAUUGGAUUCCAUCCUAACAUUGUACACACUGCUCAUUGUCAUUAACUAAGUUCCUACACUGGAAGGCAUCCCUGUAUUUGUACAUCUUUGCUGAGUUGUGCCAUGGAUCACCAACAGGUGGCAUGAGUGAACAGUGGGAAGGCUAAGAGAUGGAAAAAAUGGAAUGCUGCUGGAGGAACUAAACAGAUCAGGCAGCAUCUGUGUAGAGGGGACAAUGGCAAAUACUGGAGAUCCCAGGAACCAAAAUAAUAAAUUGAUUCUGACCUCAGUAUUUGCUGCCACACAAUGGAUUCUCCCUGGUGUCAGCUCUCUUUGCACAUCCACCAGCUGAGGAUGAACAGGUGAACUUGCUGCUUAGAAGCAGAGGUCGCUGUAGCUACAAGUUUUAGCAUCCACUCGCUAUUGUAGUCUUCAGUUCUGCAUAGAUUUUUCCCACUGUAAUGAAGCCAAAAUCUAAAUUAUUGGUCUGGUGAAAUGAACUUUGCAUCUUGUGUUAUUCAUAGAUAGCCCAUCACUCUAUUAAACAUCAUUUGGUUCUGUGUGUAUUCUCCAACUAUGUUGUGGACACCAAAACUUGUGUAUGUGAUGUUUGGAGUUGAAACUCUGGCACAGUCGUCUGUAUGCAGACACUGCCAAGACUGGAGGGACUUUACAUUGUUGACUCAUGUAUUAAUGUAUUCAUCUGUAUGUAUACAGCAUUUUGUUUUUUAGAAAAGCAUGUAAUAAACCAUGUUUUUCUUGUGAACAACUUGCAAGCUGUUUGAAGCUUUUGUAUAUUUAUGCAUAAUAUGUACAAUAUUUAAUAUUGUAUGUACUCAGCAGCCACUUUAUUAGGUACACCUUAUUAAUGCAAAUGUCCAAUACUGUAUGCCAAUCACAUGGCAGAAAUUCAAUGAAUGAAAGCAUACAGACAUGGUCAAGAGGUUCAGUUGUUGUUCAGACCAAAUGUCAGAAUGGAGAAGAAAUGUGAUGGAGUGACUUCCGACCUUGUUGGUGCCAGAAAGAGUGGUUUGAGUAUCUCAGAAACUGCUGAUCUGUGAUUUUCCUGCACAGCAGUCGCUAGUUUACAGAAAAGGUGCAAAAAGCAAACAACUCAUCCAGUGAGCAGCAGUUCUGUGGGUGAAAAUGCCUUGAUAAUGAGAGCGGUCAAAGAAGAAAGGCCAGAAUGGUUCACGGUGACAGUAACUCAUAACCACAUCUCUAAAUGCACAACACAUCAAACCUUUACUGCAGCAGACCAUGCGGGGUUCCAUUGCUGUACCUAAUAAAGCAGCAAUGAAUAUCUGUACAUGGGAGAGGUACUGUACAUAUGUGUAAAAUAUAUUUCUGGUCUGGGUGGGAGCAAAGAACAAAAUACUGCAUUCCUGUAAAGUUCUGGUCAAAAGCAACUUUGCUGCACCUUGCUGAUUAUAGUUCCUCAUUUAUAAUAGUUGUCCACAUUGAAGACUUAUUAGAAUCACAUUUGCGUGGAACAUUCCCAUUACUAAUCAAUAGAGUGAAGGGCUGAGAAUUUGUUAGGAAAUAGGAAAGUUUAAAAUUCAAAGUAAAUUUAUUAUCGACAUAUGUACAAUACAUGUCACCUUUGGGGGAGGCACAGUAGAGUAGUGGUUAGCAGAACACUUUACAGUACCGGCGACUCAGGUUCACUUCCACUGCUGUCUAUAAGGAAUUUGUAUGUUCUCCCCGUGGCUGUGCGUUUCCUCCAAGCGCUCUGGUUUCCUCCCACUGUCCAAAGACUUACUAGUUAGUAGGUUAAUUGGUUAUUGUUAAUUGUCCUGUGAUUAGGUGAGGGUUAAAUUGGGGUUUGCUGGGCAGCACAGCUCAAAGGGCCUAUUCCACAUUGCAAUUCAAUAAAUAAAAAUACUACCCUGAGAUGCAUUAUCUUGCAGGCAUUCACAGAACAAAGAAAUACAAUGGAAUAUGAAAAAACUACAAAGACUGACAACCAAUGUACAAAAGACAAACUGCAAAUACAAAUAAAUAAUACUGAGAACAUGAGUUAGUGAGUCUAUAGAGGUUGAGGUAAGUGAAGUUAUUCAUGCUGGUUCAGGAGCCGGAUGAUUGGAAAUAACUGUUCCUGGUGACUAGCCUUGUAGCUGUGGACUCACUUUCAUGAACUUCUGUUUGCAUGACGAAUAAAUUUCUCAGGAUUUCAGCCAGCUAUAGAUAUCGAUUAUAACUGAUAUUUUGAUGGCAAACUGCCAUUUUCUUCAGGGAUGGUGCUUGGGCAUAUAGUCUGGUGGUAUUUAUAACCCUGUAGUCCGUCCUGCCUGAUUGGUUAAUCCUUGUCCAAUCAGGUUUGCACUUUCCCACCAUUUUUACAAUCGAAUUCCAGUUCUUUCUUAUAGCAAGACCCUCAUAUGUGUUAAAAUUCAUUUCCUCUGAUUUUAUUUGAAUGGCUUCCUUUACCAGGUGGUCCCAAAAGUUAUUGUCACAGCACAGUUUUGCAUGAUUUUGUUCGACAUAUUUGCAUGUUCUUUAAUGGGUUCUAUUGGGUUUCUUUGUUUUGUGGCUGCCUGUGAGAUGAAUCUCAAGGUUGUUUAUAGUGUACAUACCUUGACAAUAAAUGUACUUUGAACCCUAGUGGUGUGGUUCCUGA